UUCCUGAAACAAGCAAAUCAACACAGGGAAAUCAACAUCAAUUACCCCGUACGGAAUAACCUGUUAAACAACAAAGACGUGCUGUUGAGCAGAGACUGAAAGCACUUAGCCAGCUCUUGGACUGGAGGGAGUUCAGAUCACAUUCUCCAAACUGCUUGGACACCUGCUUGAGAAAGUGGGUGCUUUCUCACUCCAGAAGACAAGGGUUGCCCUGCUGGAGAAUUGAAGGAGUUCAUCGCAGGAAAACUGUGUGUUCCAACUGCCAGAAAGAGAGCAGUUUGUGAACACAGACAGCAGCUCCCCAUCAUCCCAGACACACCGGCUCUGCAGGGGAAAACAUGAAGGGGUUCUUCAGCAUUGUCCUGCUCUGUGCUGGGAUCACAGCAGGACGAUCUCUUCAAUGUUUCAUGUGUUCAGCCUCCUCGGGUUCCUGCUCACUGAGAGAGACCACUUGCCGGAUUGGCAUCACCAACUGCCAGACUGUGUCAU